rnacentral:lncRNA from 1 species
UCCCGAGUCAGACGUAGCAACAAGUCUUAAAGAGUCGCAAGUCCCCCAACAGUAUGAGGAGAGCGGCGGAACAGAUAGAAAUGUCUGCACAGCAGCAGCAGGUACCUGCACUGAACAACGGGGAGAAAAAUCUGCGGCGUCUCCAGCUGCAGAGCUGAAGCCAAAACCCGCCAGCCUCAGCCGGAGCGCACCGCCGAGCGUUG